UACGUAGGGUGCGAGCGUUGUCCGGAUUUAUUGGGCGUAAAGAGCUCGUAGGCGGUUUGUCGCGUCGGCCGUGAAAUCUCCACGCUUAACGUGGAGCGUGCGGUCGAUACGGGCAGACUUGAGUUCGGUAGGGGAGACUGGAAUUCCUGGUGUAGCGGCGAAAUGCGCAGAUAUCAGGAGGAACACCGGUGGCGAAGGCGGGUCUCUGGGCCGAUACUGACGCUGAGGAGCGAAAGCGUGGGGAGCGAACAGG
rnacentral:rRNA from 1 species